rnacentral:rRNA from 1 species
AUUGAACGCUGGCGGCAGGCCUAACACAUGCAAGUCGAGCGGAUGAAGGGAGCUUGCUCCUGGAUUCAGCGGCGGACGGGUGAGUAAUGCCUAGGAAUCUGCCUGGUAGUGGGGGAUAACGUCCGGAAACGGGCGCUAAUACCGCAUACGUCCUGAGGGAGAAAGUGGGGGAUCUUCGGACCUCACGCUAUCAGAUGAGCCUAGGUCGGAUUAGCUAGUUGGUGGGGUAAAGGCCUACCAAGGCGACGAUCCGUAACUGGUCUGAGAGGAUGAUCAGUCACACUGGAACUGAGACACGGUCCAGACUCCUACGGGAGGCCGCCGUGGGGAAUAUUGGACAAUGGGCGAAAGCCUGAUCCAGCCAUGCCGCGUGUGUGAAGAAGGUCUUCGGAUUGUAAAGCACUUUAAGUUGGGAGGAAGGGCAGUAAGUUAAUACCUUGCUGUUUUGACGUUACCAACAGAAUAAGCACCGGCUAACUUCGUG